rnacentral:hammerhead_ribozyme from 1 species
AUCUAUCGGACGAGUCCUAAGUAGGAGAAAACGCGCGUCCUAGAU